AGCGAACGCUGGCGGCAGGCCUAACACAUGCAAGUCGAACGAACUCUCCGGAGUUAGUGGCGGACGGGGGUGUAACACGUGGGAACGUGCCUGUUGGUUCGGAAUAAUUCAGUGUAACUUGUGCUAAUACCGAAUGAGCUCUUCUGGGGAAAGAUUUAUCGCCAUUUGUGCGGCCCGGGUCUGAUUAGCCGGUUGGGGAGGUAACGGCGCACCAAGGCGACGAUCAGUAGCUGGGCUGAGAGGAUGACCAGCCACACUUGGACUAAGACACGGCCGAGACUCCUAGGGGAGGGAGCGGUGCGUGAUCCUGCGAAAUGGGGGAAAGUCUGACGGAGCCAUGCCGCGUAAAUGAUGAUGGUGGUAGGAAAGUACAAUUCUUUAACCCGGGGCGAUAGUGACGGUACCCGGAGAAGAAGCCCCGGCUAACUUCGUG
rnacentral:rRNA from 1 species